rnacentral:lncRNA from 1 species
GACAUCGUACAUGUUCUGGGUGUCUUGAGGAGCUUGUCUUUGGAUGAUGCUGAGCAGGUCUUUCUUUCUGGUAACGAUUAUCAUUACAGUGAAGUAAAAGAAUUUAACAGACAGAUUGACAAACAACUGACGAAAGAAGAGAGACCAUUCUAUAGUGGAUACCCUUCCAGCCGCAACCCAGUACUGGGAAACACCCAUUUACAAUUAUAUACUUGAACAUGGGGAGAACAUGCAAACUCCACACAGAAAUGACCACUGGCCCAGCCGGGGCUUGAACCAGCAACCUUCUUGCUGUGAGGCGACGGUUUCAACCACUGUGCUGCCCCAUGUGCUCUAUGCGGAGGCCUCUAGAGAUCGUGACCUGUGAAGAGAUGAUGCCACCAUAGAGGACUUCUAGAUGUAUCCAUAAUCCUGGACCAGACCGUAUCAUGAUCAGAUGCAGUGGUGGUCAUGGAGAAGUGGAGAGCAUGAUACUGAUUAAUGAAAGACCCCAGCGACAGAUGAGUGCCCACAUUGAUCCUGUGGUCCAGCCUGAAAACCCGCUGGUGCCCUACUCACACCUGCAGCUUCUCCACGAUGGACGCCCAGUGUUCUU